GUGCUCAGUGAUAGAGCAUCUGCUUUGCAAGCAGAAGGUCCAAGGUUCAAUUCCUGGCAUCUCCA